rnacentral:rRNA from 1 species
CCUACGGGAGGCAGCAGUGGGGAAUCUUGCGCAAUGGGCGGAAGCCUGACGCAGCAACGCCGCGUGCGGGAAGAAGGCCUUAGGGUCGUAAACCGCUUUCAGGGGGGACGAAGCUUCCGGGGUUAAUAGCCUACGGGGUGACGGUACUCCCAAAAGAAGGUCCGGCUAACUACGUGCCAGCAGCCGCGGUAAUACGUAGGGACCGAGCGUUGUCCGGAAUCAUUGGGCGUAAAGAGCGUGUAGGCGGCCUAGUAGGUCUCGUGUGAAAUCCCGUGGCUCAACCACGGACACGCACGGGAAACCCCUAGGCUCGAGUCCGGAAGAGGAGAGCGGAAUUCCUGGUGUAGCGGUGAAAUGCGCAGAUAUCAGGAAGAACACCCGUAGCGAAGGCGGCUCUCUGGGACGGUACUGACGCUGAGACGCGAAAGCGUGGGGAGCAAACAGGAUUAGAUACCCUGGUAGUCCACGCCGUAAACGAUGGAUGCUAGGUGUGGGAGGUGUCGACUCCUCCCGUGCCGAAGCUAACGCAUUAAGCAUCCCGCCUGGGGAGUACGGCCGCAAGGCUAAACGCAAAUGAAUUGACGGCUUGAGACGUUGCGAGCGACGACGAGGGAGAG